CCUUGAAAUAGUUCUUGUCAAAAAUUAACAUGGUUUUAAAUGCCAUAAAACAUAAUUUAUUAAUGUUCAUAAAAAAAUACACAAUUAGUUAGCACAUGGCGGUGGUUUGGACUGUACCAUCUUCUUUGUAUGUUCAUUUAGCUGUUCAAAUGGAAUCCACAACGCAUUUUGUGCCGGUUCACCUUUAAAUUGCACACGGUAUUCAGUUUUUCCAUUUAUUUUACGUUGAGACAAAAUUCUCUUAACUUUAUAAUAAGUGUCUGAUUGGGUCGUAAAUUCAUCGGACGAGUUUGUAUCUAAAGUGGAAAGUUGAAAACGAAUAGGACGUUUUCUAGUUCGUGUUGAACGUCUGACAACCGGUUGAGUCUGUGGUAACGGUGGG
rnacentral:lncRNA from 1 species